rnacentral:rRNA from 1 species
AAAAACUGAGGUGGUAUACGAUGGUUCCGCGUCUGAUUAGCUAGUUGGUGGGGUAAAAGCCUACCAAGGCAACGAUCAGUAGCCGGCCUGAGAGGGUGAACGGCCACAUUGGGACUGAGACACGGCCCAAACUCCUACGGGAGGCAGCAGUGGGGAAUAUUGCACAAUGGGGGAAACCCUGAUGCAGCGACGCCGCGUGAGUGAAGAAGUAUUUCGGUAUGUAAAGCUCUAUCAGCAGGGAAGAAAUACUGACCAUAGGGUCAGCAGACGGUACUUGACUAAGAAGCCCCGGCUAACUACGUGCCAGCAGCCGCGGUAAUACGUAGGGGGCAAGCGUUAUCCGGAUUUACUGGGUGUAAAGGGAGCGUAGACGGCAGCGCAAGUCUGAAGUGAAAUGCCAGGGCUUAACCCUGGAACUGCUUUGGAAACUGUGCAGCUAGAGUGCAGGAGAGGUAAGUGGAAUUUCUAGUGUAGCGGUGAAAUGCGUAGAUAUUAGGAGGAACACCAGUGGCGAAGGCGGCUUACUGGGCUGUAACUGACGUUGAGGCUCGAAAGCGUGGGGAGCAAACAGGAUUAGAUACCCUGGUAGUCCACGCUGUAAACGAUGAUUACUAGGUGUUGGGGGACCAAGGUUCUUCG